AUCAUUUAGAGGAAGGAGAAGUCGUAACAAGGUUUCCGUAGGUGAACCUGCGGAAGGAUCAUUGUCAAAACCUGCAAAGCAGCACGACCCGCGAACUCGUACACCAAACUGGGGAGGCAGGGGGGGUAAACCUUUCUCUGUCUUCCUCUCUGUCGGGGCAUUGCUCUGAGCCCUCUCAUGGAGGCGACGAUGCGUUCCCCGGCCUAACAACGAACCCCGGCGCGAACUGCGCCAAGGAAGCUGAACAAGAGAGCGCGACUCCGGGGCCCCGUUUUGCGGGUGCCAAGGGGUAGUGUGCCUUCUAUAAGAAAUUAAACGACUCUCGGCAACGGAUAUCUCGGCUCUCGCAUCGAUGAAGAACGUAGCGAAAUGCGAUACUUGGUGUGAAUUGCAGAAUCCCGUGAACCAUCGAGUUUUUGAACGCAAGUUGCGCCCGAAACCAUUAGGUCGAGGGCACGCCUGCCUGGGCGUCUCACAUCACCCUGCGCCCUCCCAGCACUCCUUCUGGCGUCUGGUGUCUGGGGCGUGGUAUAUUGGCCCCCCGUGCCCAGUGGAGCGCGGUCGGCCUAAAAUGGCACACACGACAUCUGUCGACACAAAACAGUGGUUGGCGAUUAGUCGUUACUAUCCUGUGGUGUCGCUUGCGGUGUCGGUUGUGUUGUAGACCCAGAGUGCCGUUGCGACGGUGCCUCGGUUGCGACCCCAGGUCAGGCGGGACUACCCGCUGAGUUUAAGCAUAU
rnacentral:misc_RNA from 1 species